rnacentral:tRNA from 1 species
UGCGGGGUAGAGCAGUUGGUAGCUCGUCGGGCUCAUAACCCGGAGGUCGGAGGUUCGAGUCCUCCCCCCGCUA